rnacentral:lncRNA from 1 species
UUAUCAAAUAUUAAUUUCACUAAGUGAUACCAUUGUGUAUAUACCCAAGUGCUGAGAAUACAGCUAGGUAAACAAGCUCGUGUGGAAUCAAAAUCUGGUCAUUCUGACAAUAAGAAGACCCAUUUCAUGGAAGAGAUAGAGAUAUGGCAGUUUUUUUCAAGUUACUAGAUGUUGAGGACCCCUCUACUAGCAUUCUAAUGGGUAGCCUCAGGGCAUAGGUGGAAGUUAUGGUUACCACGUUCAUACAUGAAACGUGAAGACUGAAGAUAAAAUGGAGAAAAGAGAGAGAGAGAGAUGAAUUUGUAUUGUGAUUAUAUAACUUAUCAAGUGAUAUAUACAUUACAAAUAUUUUAAUUCAAGAUCAUGCACUUUGUUAAGGUCGGAAAAGCUAUCAAACUACAUGUUUUAAAAAUAUAAUGACAUUAUACUAUUAAAUUAUAUAAUUUAAUAAUUUUUUAAAAUUUUAAUAAAUUCUAAAAUACUAAAUCUAAUCAAUACUUACACAUACAUACAUACAUACAUACAUACAUAUAUAUCAUUCUCCAAUGAAGAUGUCACUAAAGUAUAAAAAAAUUUGUCUAUUACUGUAUUAAAUUAUGUAUUUUUGAUUUGUUAGUUAUAUCUUUAACAAAAUAAAAAUUCCUUUGUUAGUGAAUGAUUAUACAUACAUACAUACAUAUAUAUAUAUAUAUAUAUAUAUAUAUAUUUAUGUAUUUAUGUAUGUACGUAUGUACAUAUGUGUGUAUAAACCCACGCACACUCUUUGGUUAUUAAUGCGUGGGGGGGCAUCACCCAGCAGGGUAUGUUAAGCAAUGCAACUUAAUUUUGUUUGUUAUCUUCAAGCAAGCACGCCCUCUAGAGGUGGCAAAAAUACCCGCCCGGUCCGGACCCGGACCGUACCCGGGUGUUGCGGACCGGGUAUUAUCCGGCCCGGGUAUGAAGCCGGGUGGGUCUUGGGCAUCACUUGAUAAACCCGGAAUCCGAAUUUUAUUAAAAAAA